CCAUGCACACACACACACGCGCCCCCACACCUAGGGAGAAUUUAGAGAGACCAAUUUACCUAACAGUUAUGUUUUUGGACUGUGGGAGGAAGCCGGAGUACCCGGAGAAAAUCCACUCAUGCACAGGGAGAAGAACAUACAAACCCCAGACUCCU